GACGAACGCUGGCGGCGUGCUUAACACAUGCAAGUCGAACGAUGGACCUUCCAUGAUCUAUUCGUAGAGAUUGGAAGCGGAUUAGUGGCGAACGGGUGAGUAACGCGUGAGCAACCUGCUUUAAACAACGGGAUAGCAUCGGGAAACGGGGAUUAAUACCGUAUGAGACCCCGCCUUCCCAUGAAGAAGAGGUUAAAGAUUUAUAGGUUUAAGAUGGGCUCGCGUCUGAUUAGCUAGUUGGUGAGAUAAAAGCCCACCAAGGCAACGAUCAGUAACCGGCUUGAGAGAGUGAACGGUCACAUUGGAACUGAGACACGGUCCAAACUCCUACGGGAAGCAGCAGUGGGGAAUAUUGCACAAUGGGGGAAACCCUGAUGCAGCGACGCCGCGUGAGCGAUGAAGGAAUUCGUUUCGUAAAGCUCUGUCCAAGGGGAAGAUAAUGACAGUACCCUUGGAGGAAGCCCCGGCUAAAUACGUGCCAGCCGCCGCUGUAAAAC
rnacentral:rRNA from 1 species